AUUAGAGUUUGAUCCUAGCUCAGGAUGAACGCUGGCUGUGUGGAUUAGGCAUGCAAGUCGAGUGGGUUUAGACCCACGGCGAACGAGGUAGUAACACGUAGGAACGUACCCUAAAGUCUGGCAUAACUUAUCGAAAGGUAGGAUAAUUCCAGAUGGUCUCGCAAGAGUAAAGAUUUAUCGCUUUAGGAACGGCCUGCGGAGUAUCAGCUUGUUGGUAGUGUAAUGGACUACCAAGGCUAUGACGCUUAGGGGAGGUGAGAGCCUGGCCCCCACCGAUGGUACUGAGACACGGACCAUACUCCUACGGGAGGCCGCAGUCGAGAAUCUUCCGCAAUGGGCGAAAGCCUGACGGAGCGACACAGCGUGAUUGAUGAAGCUCUUGUUAUCCGGAAUUAUUGGGCGUAAAGGGUGUGUAGGUGGUUUUGUUAGUCUUUUGUUAAAGACCCGGGCUCAACCCGGGGAGCGCAAAGGAAACGGCAAAACUAGAGAGUGUGAGGGGUGAAUGGAACUCAUAGUGUAGGGGUGAAAUCCGUUGAUAUUAUGGGGAACACCAAAAGCGAAGGCAAUUCACUGGCGCAUUUCUGACACUGAAACACGAAAGCGUGGGUAGCGAAUGGGAUUAGAUACCCCAGUAGUCCACGCCCUAAACGAUGUUCUCUAGCUUUUUGGAGUAUCGACCCUCUAAGAGGCGAAGCUAACGCGUUAAGAGAACCGCCUGGGUAGUACGGCCGCAAGGCUAAAACUCAAAGGAAUAGACGGGGACUUGCACAAGCGGUGGAUUACGUGGUUUAAUUCGAUGAUACGCGAAAAACCUCACCAAGAUUAGACAUCUAGUUUACGUCUUUCUGGAAACAGAAAGUCCUAACGGCUAGACAGGUGAUGCAUGGUCGUCGUCAGUUCGUGGCUUGAGCUGUUCCCUUAAGUGGGGAAACGAACGCAACCCUUAUCGUCUGUUACAAGUGUCAGGCGAGACUGCCUAGCCUGAAGCGCGCAAAACGCGCUUCGAGUAGAAAGUAAAAAGUUCGUAAAGUUAAAAGACUUUUAACUUUUUAACUUUAUAAACUUUAUAAACUUUUAACUCGAAGCAAACUUUGUUUGUUUCAGGCUGGGAGGAAGGUGGGGAUGACGCCAGAUCAGCAUGUCCCUAGAUAUCUUGGGCUACACACAUAAUACAAUGGCUGUGACAACGGGUCGCGACGGGGUAACCCUGAGCCAAUCCUUUAAACACAGCCCCAGUUCGGAUUGAGGUCUGCAACUCGACCCCAUGAAGUUGGAAUCGCUAGUAAUCGCUGGUCAGCAUACAGCGGUGAAUAUGUUCUCAAGUCUUGUACUCACCGCCCGUCAACUCAAGGGAGCUGGGAGUACCCGACAGUCGUCUUUAUGACGGACUAAGGUAAAUUCAGUGACAGGGAGUAAGUCGUAACAAGGCACGGGUAGCGGAAGCUGUUCGUGGAAUAUU
rnacentral:rRNA from 3 species